AACCACUCAUCGGGGAGCCAGAUACGUUAACCGUAUUCGCUGAGAUCAAGCCAAGCUUGGGACCCGUGUUAUUACGACGCUGAUAGAAGUGAUCGUGAUAUUGAACCUGAACCAGAUAAUGCUGGCGUAGGAAAUGAGUGUGGAUGAAUC
rnacentral:ncRNA from 1 species